AGAGUUUGAUCCUGGCUCAGGACGAACGCUGGCGGUAUGCUUAACACAUGCAAGUCGAACGAGACAAAAGAGAAGUGCUUGCACGGAUCUUUUAGAAAGUGGCGAACGGGUGAGUAACGCGUGGGUAACCUACCCUAUGGAAAGGAAUAGCCUCGGGAAACUGGGAGUAAUGCCUUAUAAGAUAUAUUUGUCGCAUGGCAGAUGUAUUAAACGCUCCGGUGCCAUAGGAUGGACCCGCGUCCCAUUAGCUAGUUGGUGAGAUAACAGCUCACCAAGGCGACGAUGGGUAACCGGUCUGAGAGGGCGAACGGUCACACUGGAACUGAGACACGGUCCAGACUCCUACGGGAGGGCAGCAGUGGGGAAUAUUUGCGCAAUGGGGGAAACCCUGACGCAGCAAUACCGCGUGAGUGAAGAAAGGUUUUCGGAUCGUAAAGCUCUGUUAUUGGGGGAAGUAAAAAAGACGGUACCCAAGAAAGAAAAGUCCCGGCUAACUACGUGCCAGCAGCCGCGGUAAUACGUAGGGGACAAGCGUUGUCCGGAUUUACUGGGCGUAAAGGGCACGCAGGCGGUUUUUUAAGUCAGAUGUGAAAGGUACCGGCUCAACCGGUGACAUGCAUUUUGAAACUGAAAGACUUGAGUAUUGGAGAGGCAAGUGGAAUUCCUAGUGUAGCGGUGAAAUGCGUAGAUAUUAGAGGAACACCGGUGGCGAAAGCGGCUUGCUGGACAAAUACUGACGCUGAGUGCGAAAGCGUGGGGAGCAAACAGGAUUAGAUACCCUGGUAGUCACGCCGUAAACGAUGAUUGCUAAGGUUGUUGGGGAGACUCAGUGCCGCAGCUAACGCA
rnacentral:rRNA from 1 species